CCGAAUUAUUUACUGGACUAAUACAGAUUUUAAGAGAAAACAAAGAUUGUGAAUGUAGUAAGGAAGCUUUAUUCUCGUGCUCCCACUCCUAUGUAUUGUAGGUAUCCUAUUAUGUAUCUAUUGUAAGGUAGGUGCUCUUUCAUGAAUUCUUCUGGCAUUUUCUUCCAUUCAAGAUCUAUGUAUUCUUUUAUUGAAAGAAUAGCAUUUGGCUUAGAAUUUGGAAGAGAAUUUUGAUUUUAUUCUCUAAUGUCUCUAUAAUAUUAGAUUGGUCGGAACGAGAUGCUAAUUUAUGAUCAGUUUAAGCAUUUACAGAGGCAGAAUAAUUUGUGCGUAAUAUACAGAAAAUCGUUUCUAAUUCGCUUAUGACG